GCCGGGUGCGGUGGCGCGCGCCUGUAAUCCAAGCUACCGGGAGGCUGAGGCUGGCGGAUCGUUUGAGCUCAGGAGCUCUGAGCUGCAGCGGACUAUGCCGAUCGGGUGUCCGCACUAAGUUCGGUAUCGAUAUGGUGCUCCUGGGGGAGCUCGGGACCACCAGGUCGCCUAAGGAGGGGUGCACCGGCCCAGGUCGGAAACGGAGCAGGUCAAAGCCCCCGUGCCGCUCAGUAGUGGGAUCGCGCCUGUGAAUAGACGCUGUAGUGCAGCCUGAGUAAUACAGCGGGACCCAGUCUCUU
ensembl:misc_RNA Metazoa_SRP Metazoan signal recognition particle RNA